UACGGGGGGGGCGAGCGUUGUUCGGAAUUACUGGGCGUAAAGGGUUUGUAGGUGGCCUGCUAAGUCAGACGUGAAAUCCCUCAGCUUAACUGGGGAACUGCGUCUGAUACUGGCGGGCUUGGGGACAGGAGAGGAACGCGGAAUUCCAGGUGUAGCGGUGAAAUGCGCAGAUAUCGGGAGGAACACCGGUGGCGAAGGCGGCGACCUGGGUCGAUACUGACGCUGAGGUGCGAAAGCGUGGGGAGCAAACAGG
rnacentral:rRNA from 1 species